rnacentral:sRNA from 1 species
AUUCGGCCCCGGAGCGCAGACCGCUCCGGGGGUGCUCGGA